GAGGGGGUGGGAGGAAGGAGGUGGCGGCGAUGGGAGUCGAGACGAGACGAGGCGAGGCGAGGCGAGGCGAGACGGGACGAUUCGCCCUCCGCCUCCUCUCCUUGGGUUUUUUUUUUUACUAUCUCUCUCUCCUGUUUGCGUGAUGGGAAUGGCGGCUUGGGCCGUGCCGUGCGUGCUUAUCCCGCUACUGCUGCUGCUGCAAUGGCGGAGAGGGGGGCGGGGGUGGGCCCGGGGGGGCUCGGGGAUGGGCGCGGGGACGGGGCUCGACAAGCGAUCGAUCGGUGGGGUGGGGCGGGGUGGGGGUGACUUGUCACGUGCGGCCUCGGUGGUGCUGCCGCGUUGGGCCCACCUGUCGGUGGCGAUUGUUGAUUGUCCGUUCGUUCGCCUCAUAUGAUCUGAUCCGGCGAAUUGGCUCUUGGGUCGUCCCCACUAUCCUCAUGAAUCGGUGUCUGAUUUUCUUGGACUAUAAUUAAAAUUGUUAAAUGAAUUUAUGUUUGCGUCUGUUGAUUUUUCAUUUUUAUGACGAUAGGGAUGAUUCGGACUAGUCAUAAGGGAGUAAUAUCGGUACACCAUCGCUGUGUUUGGAUGUCUGUAUUGGAGUUUUGAAUUGGAUUUGGUAUAUAUGCAAACGAAAACACCAUCCCAAAGUGGAACCAAUACAGUCACAAAAUACCUCCCGUUCAACGAGCCUUCCCACGCUGUAGAGUUGUACCCCUCCGAUUUGGCUACAAUCCACCCCUCCUUAUCAAAGAUAUUUUGAUUCCUUCAUAUAUUUUCUUUGCUUAACCACAAGCUCCCACCCCCCCCCUUUCUCGACUACGAAUACGCGAAGGAGGCGGCGCCCGGGUGACCUUUCUCGUCGGCCCUCAUCAUCUUCUGCUCGUACUUCGCCCCCACACCCUCAUCGUCGUCGAUGCUCGUUCCCUUCCUCCCAUGUCCUCCAUAGUUUGGCCCUAGCCACCACCAUCUCUCACCUGUGGUAGCGCCCCCUCUCCUCACGGGUCUCCGAGUCAUCCUCUCUCGUGCUUCCCUCAUGUGCCCCAACUAGCCUCCCAAAGCCAUCCUCUCCCGUCGGAUACGGCGCACCCCUCUUUUUGUUCCCCUUCGGUUCCUGCCGAGGGUGCCUUGCUCCCACUCCCCCAUUCAAAAACCUCAUUUUCCUUGCUCUUGUUCCUCGUCUGUUCUCCUUCUUUCCUUACUAAUCAUGGACCGAAUAGUUAUGGGUUUAUUUGAGGGUUUAUUUGAGGAUUUGGUACACGAGGAAGUGGCGAACGUGGAUGAAUUAACAUGUUGUUGGGGAACGUUGCAUGGAAAACAAAAAAAAUCCUACGCGCACCCAAGAUCUAUCUAUGGAGAUGUAUAGCUACGAAAGGGAGAGUGCAUCUACAUACCCUUAUAGAUCGCUAAGCGGAAGCGUUAAGAAACAUGGUUGAUGUAGAUGUACGUCUUAAUGAUCCAAUCGCGAUUCGUCCUGAUCUAGCGUCGAACGGACAACACCUCCGUGUUCAGCACACAUGCGGCUCGAUGACGUCUCCUCCUUCUUGAUCCAGCAAGCGAUGGAGGAGAAGUAGAUGAGAUCUCAACCAGCACGGCGGUGUGGUGAAGAUUGUGGUGGAGAAAUCACGGCAGGGCUUCGCCAAGUGCUAUCGUAGACGCGGUCUAAGGAGAAAACGGAGUAAUGGGAGAGGGAGGGCUGCCACCGUGGCGUAUGAAUUGGUGUGUGCAGCCCUCCCUCCACUCCACUAUAUAUAGGAGACAAAGGGGAGAGUAGAGGCGAAGCCUUGACCCCUCUUCCAAGGGAGGGGUUGGCGGCCAAGGGAGGAGUCCUCCCUUCACAAGGAAGGGAGGACUCUUGCCCCCAAGCCUAAUUCGCCUCUAGGGGCUAAUACACAAGGCCCAAGCUCACUAGGACGCACUCCUUAUGGCCCGUGUGGGUCCACGGUGUAGGUGGACCCCCAGUGGACCCCCGGAACCCUUUUAGGCACCCACGUACACUAUCGGUAAUGCGCGAAACUUUUCCGGCGACCAAAAUAGAACUUUCCAUAUAUAAACCUUUACCUAUGGACCAUUUUGGAACUCCUCAUGACGUCCGGGAUCUCAUCCGGGACUCCGAACAACAUUCGGUCACCAACAUACAUAUCACAAUACUACUACAGUGUCGUCGAACGUCAAGCGUGUGGACCCUGCGGGUUUGAGAAUCAUGUAGACAUGACCGAGGCACCUCUCUAGCCAAUAACCAGUAGCGGGACCUGGAUGCCCAUAUUGGUUCCCACAUUUUCCAUGAAGAUCUUCAUUGGUCGAACCACGAUGCCAAAGUUUCAAUAAAUCCCGUAUGCAGUUCCCUUUGUUCAGCGGUAUGUUACUUGCCUGAUAUUUGAUCAUUUGUGUCUCCAUACCUAGUUCAAUCUCGUUACCGGCAAGUCUCUUUACUCGUUCUGUAAUAGAAGAUCAUGUGACUAACUCCUUAGUCACAUUGCUUGCAAGCUUCUUGUAAUGUUGUAUUAUCGAGAGGGCCCAGAGAUACCUCUUCGUCAUACGUAGUGACAAAUCCCAGUCUCGAUCCAUGUCAACCCAACACACACCCUCGGAGAUACCUGUAGAGCAUCUUUAUGAUCACUCCGUUACGUUUUGACAUUUCAUACACACAAUGCAUUCCUCCGGUGUUUGGGAGUUGCGUGAUCUCAUGGUCGUAGGGACAAAUAAUUGACAUGCAGAAAGCAAUAGCAAUAAACUUGGUGAUAGAAUCAAAUGCUAUGCUUACGGUUGGGUCUUGUCCAUCACAUCAUUCUCCUCAUGAUGUGAUCCCGUUAUAAAAUGACAACUCAUGCCCAUGGUUAGGAAACCUUAACCAUCUUUGAUCAACGAGCUAGUCUAGUAGAGGCUCACUAUGGACACGAUGUUGUCUAUGUAUCCACACAUGUGCCCGAGUUUCCAAUUAAUAUAAUUAUAGCAUGGAUAAUAAACAAUCAUCAUGAACAAGGAAAUGUGAUAAUAACUAAUUUAUUAUUGCCUGUAGGGCAUAUUUCUAAUAGUCCCCACUUGCAUUAGAGUCAAUAAUCUAGUUCACAUCACCAUGUGAUUAACACCCAAUGAGUUCUAGGGUUUGAUCGUGUUUUGCUUGUGAGAGAGGUUUUUAGUCAACGGGUCUGCAACAUUCAAAUCCGUGUAUACUUUGCAAAUCUCUAUGUUGUACUGUAGAUGCUCCUACUAUGCUUCACUUGGAGCUAUUCCACAUGACUCCUCAAGUAUACACUACAAGGAAUAUGAUAAUACAAGACGCUAUAUUUUCGUCGCUACAUCGUCACGGUUUUUAGUUUACGACGAUCUCACGACGAAAAACCAAGCGUCGAAAACGAAGCGUCACAAAUGAACAGCACCGAGGUUUUGAUCGAAAUCGUCGUAACUUCUCCGACGAUUCCUGGAUCGUCGUAACCUUUACGAUGAUCCUAAAUCGUCGUUGACAAUAUAACCCAGUCCUACGUGGUAGUCCUACGUGGCAAAGUUACGACGAAAUCAAAGCAUCAUAGUUGAAAUCAGCCCAACCCAUUUCAAUUGAUCACAUGGGUUCGUUUUAUUUUUUUGGGCUUUUUCUUAUUGGGCUUCUUUUUGGGCCUUAGCCUAUUUACAACCACUUUAGUAUUUUUUUCGAAUUUUUUUGUAUCAUUAUAAUUUGGGCCCUGGCCUUUUAGUGCCCAAAUACAUUUGGUCCAGUUUCAGUUUUGGGCUUUUGAAUUUUAGUUUUGUGUGUAGGUCCCACUUGUCAUGUUCUUCUCAUAAUUUGUCCCAUAUGUCAAGAAGUUUUGGUCAGGUUUUCAUUUCACACAUUCUCAAAUCGCAUACGAUAUGAAUAUUUCAAAUAGAGCAGAAAGGACAUGUGAAAUUCAUCAAAUUAACACGAAGGUAGUAUACUACAAUUUUUCCAAUCUAUUACAAAGCAGAUAUGUCUAUUAUUACAAUAUAUAAUAUGCAUUCUUGGAUAAGUAGAGCUUCACACAAUUGGCUUCAAGGCUUCGCACUUAAACUUUCUUAGGCCUGGAGGUCCUGUAGAAGAAACAACCAUAUUUGUAAGAGCUACAAGAUACAGAUCAAGAAUAGAAACAAGGCACAAAAACAAGCAAUCCAUGGCGGAAACCUUGAAGCGACAAAUGUUUCUGAACUCAGAUGAGAUAAGUUUGAGUCUAGCCAAUUAAACCAACUACCACUGAUGUAAUCUAUAAAGAUGGACUGAACAAUAACAAUACAAAAAAUGACAGCUAAAUUAUGAAGAGUCCUAAAAUUAUAGUAAUUACUAUUGGACAUGAUAUAGUAAGGUACCGAACCACAGCUUGUUGGUAGAACAUUGCACCAGGCAAGGGUGCCGAACCAUGGCACCAUCGCAGAUUGUGUGGCGAAACCAUCCGGUUGAGGAACAAAAUACACAAACUGCUGCAUGCUGCUCGGCCAUGGAGUCCAUGAGCUUCCUUCUGUGGCACCGCCAAAAGGUAGGUUUCUGCUUCCUUGUGUGGUUGUGCCAUCUGAAGCUUCAGUUCCGACGUCCCUGCCAUUCUGCAGGUUGCCAGUGCUGGUGUUCGGCUUCUGGUAUGUAUCAUUCACCAUGACUUUCUUGCCGAAUAGCUUGAGGACUGAUGUCUCCGAUCCUGUACAUGACCCCUCUUUGGCAUCACCAUUUGCAGUGAACUCUGAAGCCUGAAACUGGCAUUUCAGAAAUGCGUUAGAAUUGAAAGGUACCAGAGGUGUUAAAGCAGAUCAUAUAGCUGCAGAAAACAUAAGGUGAACAGAUCAUGUUAGGCAAAUCUUCACAGGGAGGAUAUCUGGAGUUUGUUUUCUUCUUGAAGGGAUGCCCGUAUUACUUGUUUAUGUUUAAUGUAGCCUUUAUUCUCUUAUUAAGCCACUCAGCCUUGUUUUGCUACAUGAGGAGCUGAGUGAAGCCAGACUCAGUUCGAAUUUAGGACCCUUCUUCAUAAUUAAUCUGAUACAUAGUCUCUUAGCCAUGUUUCUAUAAAAAGAGCAUCCAUGCAACUGAAUUUUUCUUAUAUACCAGUUAAUUUCCACCACAUCUAGAUCUGCGCAUAAGUAAUUGUCUUUUUAUAUUGCUAUUGGAUAUUGGAUGGAUCAACUUUUUUUGCCAUAUAAAACGCCUUAGAAAAAAAUACGGUGCCUUAGUAUUUUAUUUUAUUUUUGCGAAAUCAAUACCUUAGUAUUUUUAAUGACAACAUCCAUGCAACUGAAAUUUUUUGUAUUGUUAAUGACAACUCAAAAAAGAAGGCAGCAUCAAAUACUAUAGUAAUUAUUAUUGGACAUGAUAUAGUAAGGUACUCUCACUGGUUAAGGUACUCUGCAGCACACGUACGUCAUACCAAAGUAUGCGUCCAGAUAGUAAGCAGACACAAUUAGCUAGUCUUGCACGCACAUUUUUCCAUGUUUUCAAGAUAGAAAUGCAAAUGAAUGGAUACUGGCUACAUUGUAAUUAAUAAUUGCGUUGGUUGAUCGCAGAACUGGAUCGAUCUGGACGACAUGUAUGUAAUUGCUCAACAAUGGUUAUUAGUUGCAGCGUUGCAGAUCAUCGUCAACUUGUGAGGGAUAAAGGCCGCUAAUGAAGAGCCCGACAAAGCAUAUUUUCCAGGAUUAUGAUAUGUCAGUGACUGAAAUCGAUAGACUACUUCAACAGUUAUGCAUAUGCCCAUGUCAAAAUCUGUGAAAAUGUGCAGAACUGCAGAUGCCUCAUAGUUUGCUUUAUAUUUUUCCUAAAAAUCAUUUCUAGGUACAUAAUUAUCUAUUUAAUCAUAGAAACACCAAAAUAUUUGCAAGAAUCAAGCCCUAACUACGAACGGUCAUAUCCACUGUUUAAACUGCAUUUUGAAAUAUGCAUGAAAAAUUCUAAAAAAAAUCAAAAAAUUGAAAAACCUUCGCAUUGUGUCAUUAUAUGUGACCAGCUUACGAGGAAAAAUAAUAAAGUUGUAAUAUGGUAAUUAUUUAAAAAAAUCUUCUCAUAAAUGGGCUAUCGUGUGUGAAGAUUCAUGGCUUUCAAGCCAAAUGAUCAAUCUUAUGGCCACAUUCAUUGCAUAGUUUGUUCAAAUGAUCUAAUAUUAUGCACAAGGGUGCAUAUUGGAAUGGCAAACGACGUUGAUUAAGAAAGUUUUUAUUUACCUUGUAUGUAAAAAUCAUUUUCCAUUUUCAAGUGUACAAAAUGAGUUUUUUUGUGAAAGACCUAUCAUAUAUUUGUUUCAAAAUUGUACAAAAUAAUUUUUCUAAAAUACUAGGACACGUUUAAUUUACAAUUGACAAAAUGGUUGGGUGUUAAAAGCUUUUAUCCACCUCUCGUGAAAAAGAUAAAUUUUCAUCGAAUCAACUAGAAGCGGGUCAAAUUUGAACUGCAGCUACAUUAUAGUUUGAUCUUUAUUUUCUCGAAAAAUCAUUUAUAGGUACAUAAGAAUCUAUUUAAUCAUAUAAACAUCAAAAAAUUCCAAGAUUCAACCACUAAGUAGGAACGGUCAUACCCGUUGUUUUGACCACGUUUUGAAAUGGCCAUGAAAAAUUCAAAACAAAUUCAAAAAAAUGGAAAACCUUUGCAUUGUGUCAUUAUAUGUGACAAAGUUACGAGUAAAAAUAAUAAACUAGUAAUACGACAAUUAUUUUAAAUAAGUAUUCUUAGAAAUGGGUUAUCAUGUCUCAAGAUUACUCAAUUUCAAGCCAAAUGAUCAAUCUUAUGACCACAUUUAUGACAUGGUUUGUUGAAAUGAUAUAAUAUUAUGCACAAGGGUGCAUAUUGGAAUGACAAACAACGUUGAUUAAGGAAUUUUUCAUUUUCCUUGUAUGAAAAAUUCAUUUUUCAUUUUUCAAGUGACCAAAAUGAGUUUUUUUAUGAAGGACAUACCAUAUAUUUGUUUCAAAAUUGGACCAAAUCAUUUUUAUAAAAGACUAGUCCAUAUUUAAUGUACAAUUGACAAAAUGGUUGGAUGUUAAAAACUUUUAUCCACCUCUCGUGAAAAUGACAAAUUUAUGUCGAUUCAGUUGGAAGCGAGUUAAAUUUGAACUGCAACUGCAUUAUAGUUUGCUCUUUAUUUUUUCCACAAAUAAUUUAUAGGUAUAUAAAUGUCUAUUUAAUCAGAAAUACAUGGUGUGGUGCCUUGACAUCGAGGUUUGGAUGGUGGUCGAGGGUCCCAACUCCAGAGUGUGUGAACUUGCAUGCCAGCCACAUGGUCACCGCCUGACCGUUGCGUUGCCACGCGUUCUAGGUGGAAUAGGCAUGUCUGUUGGGUUGGAAAAUCCCUUUGUAGGUGGUAUCAAGAAGAAUACAAUAGAAGAAUCUCACGAGGAGACUGAACUAAGCUCAAACAUGAAUUAGCACCCAAGUGUUUGAUUAGCGGUGCGGGUAAUUCACAUAGCAAAUAGGACUAAAUUUUGGCUGAGGAUGAUCAUCUAUUAAGGGGACUCUCUUGGCAAAUUUUUAGCUGAAAUGGAUGAAUAUAGGUGGCACUUUCUUUGCAAAGUAACACACUGUGCAGAAAUAUGGAUGUUGAAGCUGGGAUCAAAUGAAUGAAUGGAUUGAGCUGAAAUUUGGUGUAUGAUGUUAAUUUGGGCAUAUGAAGGCACUGUAUAAAAAUUAUACCAUUUGGACAUGCCAAAGUGACACUUCCUUCACAAUGUGCCAAUCUAGACAGAAAAUGGUAAUUCAAACUAGGCUCACAUAGAUGAUUGGAUUGAGCUGAAAUUUCAAGAGGAGGAUAAUUUGGGUACAUUAAGGUACUGUAAAAAUUUCAUAAAAUUUGGAUAAAAAAAUUGUACUUCCUUCACAAUGCUCUCUACUAAACAAAAUAUUGGGAAAAAUAUUAAGGGAAACUAGCUGAAUUAAAAUGAGCUAAAAUUUGGUGGAGUGGGGUUAUAUGGUUAGUGUCAUCCCGUGGUAAAUUGUCAUCAACUAUAAAGCAAUGUAAAAUGUAGUUGCUUCACAAAAUGAAAAUAUUACCAGAAACAAAGAUUGGAUGAUGAGCUCACAUGGAUUGUUAGAUGGGGCUAAAAUUUUAUGGAGAGCUAUGUUUUGGGCACAUAGAUGAUGUUGAAAAAAUUCAAAUCAUCGGGAUAUUCCUAUCUAGUACUUCCUUCACAAAGGUGUUAGCUGAACACAAACUUUGGAAAUUUGCUGAGAAAGAUUUACUAGACAAAUCUUUACGAAAGUUUUCAUGAGGCAAUGAUUUGUAUAGGAAAAAGUGCCCAAAAAAUAUGAGGGUAAUCAAAGAAAUAUAAAUAGCACUUCCUUCACAAAAUAUAAACAUAAUAGGAAAAUGAAUAUUGCUGAAUUAUUUUUGAACUAUGGAAGGAAGGGUUUUCACAUAUUUGAGAAAUAUAUGAUCGAAAGUAUUAAUGAGAAUUUUUCGAGAAUUUUUGGAAUGACGGAAUAGUAGGUUGCUUCACAAACUCGGAUGAGGUGGGAUAGAAUGGACCCACGAGUGACAUGUCAACGUAGUUAAAACGUGUUACGACAUUUUUAUAAUCGUCGUAAAAGUUAUGACGAUCUCAUCUUAUGCGGUUACGACGUUUUUGACUCACAUCGUCGUAAUUUAUAUGUAGAUUUGAUCCCCUCAAACGAUUUAUGACGAUCUCGGAUGAAAUCAUCACAGAUUUAUGAUGAAUUCAUCAACGACGUUUUAGAAAACGUCAUGUAUGAGCAUAUUUCUUGUAGUGAUACGGAUCUGGUUUGCUACCCAGAGUCAUCCGGAUUGGUGUCAAAGCUUGCAUCAACGUAACCCUUUACGAUGAACUCUUUUAUCACAUUCAUAAUCGAGAAGCAUUUCCUUUGUUCUCUAGUUACUAAGGAUAAUUUUGAUCGUUGUCCAAUGAUCCUNNNNNNNNNNNNNNNNNNNNNNNNNNNNNNNNNNNNNNNNNNNNNNNNNNNNNNNNNNNNNNNNNNNNNNNNNNNNNNNNNNNNNNNNNNNNNNNNNNNNGGGAAGGACAGGGGAGCGCCGCCACGGGUGGUUGGAUUAGAUCAGAGGAGAGUAGAGGAGGGGAGACGCACCUGCUGGACGCGCUCGGCGGGAGUCAACUCGGGCAGCCGCGCGGCGGGGGCGUCCCCGGCGCCGUCGAUCCCGGCCAUGGCCCGCAGCCAGUGGGCGCAGGUCCAGUGGCCCGACCGCCCGCCCCCACGCCCCAGCCUCGCCGAAUCGGGGCCCCCUCCGGAACCCGCAGGCCCUCCCUCCCUCAAUCCGCGCACGCGCGCGCGGCGCGGAGGCGGAUCGAUCCGGCCACCGAACAAACCCCGGCGGCGGCGGCGGCGGCGGCGGCGGCGGGGGGAGGAGGAAUCUCGCGAACCCUAGCGGAGCCCGGCGCGAUUGGGGCCUGCGUAUUUAUGAUGGAUUGCUACUCGGGGGGCGCAGCGACCGGAGGGGGUGGGAGGAAGGAGGUGGCGGCGAUGGGAGUCGAGACGAGACGAGGCGAGGCGAGGCGANNNNNNNNNNNNNNNNNNNNNNNNNNNNNNNNNNNNNNNNNNNNNNNNNNNNNNNNNNNNNNNNNNNNNNNNNNNNNNNNNNNNNNNNNNNNNNNNNNNNNNNNNNNNNNNNNNNNNNNNNNNNNNNNNNNNNNNNNNNNNNNNNNNNNNNNNNNNNNNNNNNNNNNNNNNNNNNNNNNNNNNNNNNNNNNNNNNNNNNNNNNNNNNNNNNNNNNNNNNNNNNNNNNNNNNNNNNNNNNNNNNNNNNNNNNNNNNNNNNNNNNNNNNNNNNNNNNNNNNNNNNNNNNNNNNNNNNNNNNNNNNNNNNNNNNNNNNNNNNNNNNNNNNNNNNNNNNNNNNNNNNNNNNNNNNNNNNNNNNNNNNNGAGGCGAGGCGAGGCGAGACGGGACGAUUCGCCCUCCGCCUCCUCUCCUGGGUUUUUUUUUUUUCUAUCUCUCUCUCCUGUUUGCGUGAUGGGAAUGGCGGCUUGGGCCGUGCCGUGCGUGCUUAUCCCGCUACUGCUGCUGCUGCAAUGGCGGAGAGGGGGGCGGGGGUG
rnacentral:lncRNA from 1 species